GACGGGGGAUGCAAGUGUUAUCCGGAAUCACUGGGCGUAAAGCGUCUGCAGGUGGUUUCCUAAGUCCACUGUUAAACCUUGAGGCUCAACCUCAAAUCUGCAUUGGAAACUAGGAGACUUGAGUAUAGUAGGGGGUAGAGGGAAUUUCCAGUGGAGCGGUGAAAUGCGUAGAUAUUGGAAAGAACACCGAUGGCGAAGGCACUCUACUGGGCUAUUACUGACACUCAGAGACGAAAGCUAGGGGAGCAAAUGGG
rnacentral:rRNA from 1 species